AUGAGGAAAAAUUUAUUGGAAUUUAUGAUUACAACGUAUGACAGAACUGGAAAGCGAUUUAUUAUUCGGCCAAAUACUGAUGGCAUCAGUGUGCUUAAUGAAGAUGUUUACGACAUAUUCGGGCUACGUAACGAGGGUGAUGAUGUCAGUAGCAUGAUAGCAACAGUACAACUAGAUGCAAAAAAAUGUUCAUAUGAUGAUGAUUUUGUUAGAAGGGCCGUACUGGUUCUUAUGGGUACAGUCUUAGCACCACAAUCCAUCAAGUUUGUUCCUUAUCGUUAUUACAAAAUGGUGGAGGACGUGAAUGCUAUCAAGUCAUACAAUUGGAACGAUUUCACGUUGCGGGUGUGCAUGGAUGCUAUUAAAAAAUCGGUCUAA
rnacentral:rRNA from 1 species